GUUAGUAAUGCGUGACCGACCUCGCCCCAUGCUCCGGAAUAGCUCCUAGGAAACGGGUGGUAAUGCCGGAUGUUCCACAUGAUCGCAUGUGAUUGUGGGAAAGAUUUCAUCGGCGUGGGAUGGGGUCGCGUCCUAUCAGCUUGUUGGUGAGGUAACGGCUCACCAAGGCUUCGACGGGUAGCCGGCCUGAGAGGGCGACCGGCCACACUGGGACUGAGAUACGGCCCAG
rnacentral:rRNA from 1 species